UCGCAUUGAGACAGCCUGAAAUGGGCUGCAGCCCCCUCCCGGAAACCGCCCCGCCUCCCCAGCCAGGUCCUGGCCCGCCGUCCCCGCGCAAGCCGGCCGAGGCCGGAGGGCCCUGCAGGAGUGGGCGGAGCGAGGCCGGCUUCCGAGCAUGGGGAGGGGCUGGCUUGGGGGGGCAGGGGGGAACUGCCCCCCAUCACUCACUAGUGGCGCGCCACAUCUCUGCACUUCCUGUCGCCGACUAACACGGCUGCUACUCUGAAACCUGCAAUAGUCAAGAUACACACAAGAGGGAGCUCUGACCUGAAAAAAUGAAAUAAAACUUUUGCAGUUCUAAGUCUGUCUCGCCCAUCCAAACCAUAUAUUAGCAUGAACUCACACAGCAAAGUGAUCAAAGACAAAAAACCCACCAUCCAUCCAACCCGUGGGUGAAUACAUUUCACAAAGUGAUCACUCCAUAUCUGACCUUUCAGUCCUCAUUGUCAAAGGAAACCUGCACAACCCCUUCAAGAGAAGAGCCUGCAAGCUUAUGUUCAUAACAUUGCUAGACCCUAAACGUCAUGGUGUUACUGAAGACACUGAAUUUAAAUAAAUUUGUUAGUCUCUAAGGUG